rnacentral:rRNA from 1 species
GACGAACGCUGGCGGCGUGCUUAACACAUGCAAGUCGAACGGGCCUUGUCCCCUUUUUUUUUUGGGGGUGGGGGUAGUGGCGAACGGGUGAGUAACACGUGAGUAACCUGCCCCUCACUUCUGGAUAACCGCUUGAAAGGGUGGCUAAUACGGGGUGUUCUGGCCUGCUCGCAUGGGUGGGUUUGGAAAGAUUCGACCGGUUUUGGUGGUUUUGGUGGGGGAUGGGCUCGCGGCCUAUCAGCUUGUUGGUGGGGUGAUGGCCUGCCAAGCCUUUGACGGGUAGCCGGCCUGAGAGGGUGGGCGGUCACACUGGGACUGAGACACGGCCCAGACUCCUACGGGAGGCAGCAGUGGGGAAUAUUGCACCAUGGGCGCAAGCCUGAUGCAGCGACGCCGCGUGAGGGAUGGAGGCCUUCGGGUUGUGAACCUCUUUCGCCAGUGAAGAAGGUCCUGCUCUUUGUGGUGGGGUUGACGGUAGCUGGGUUAAUGAAGCGCCGGCUAACUACGUG